UUUGGGGGGUUACUGCGGAGGACAUUA
rnacentral:rRNA from 1 species